rnacentral:lncRNA from 1 species
GUGUUAAAGAACUGCUGGAGUUGUCGCGUGCUGUCUGGCUCUACGCUCUUAGGGGCGGGUAUUGCCUGUUGGGGUGUAAUUGUUCUGAUAGACCCCAAAGGGAAGGACCACCAAGAUGUUUGAAAAUACCAGCAGUUCAUUGUUGUCUCCUAUCACUGGCUGCGCGGCAGACGGAACAAGCAUUGGGUUGGUGGAUAUUCUUUGCACACACUGCCAAGGAUGCGCUUAACCAUAGGACAUACCGAGAAGACCGUGAAAAUAUGAGCUGUCAUUCUUUGGCCAUGGAUCCUUACGGUUUACCCCCUCUCAGGUUAUAAAGGGACAAAAAAAUCCCUUGGAAGAAAACAUGAUUCUCUGUCUUGUCCAGGGAGGUUAUGUGUAGUUCAAUUUAUACUCAAAGAUAACGUUUUGAGAACAUAUUAAAAUGGGAUGAAUGGUAGGCCAAUAAUGAAAUAAACUAUUUUUUUAAAAU